rnacentral:rRNA from 1 species
GGAUGUUGGCUUAGAAGCAGCCAUCAUUUAAAGAAAGCGUAAUAGCUCACUGGUCGAGUCGGCCUGCGCGGAAGAUGUAACGGGGCUAAACCAUGCACCGAAGCUGCGGCAGCGACGCUGAUGCGUUGUUGGGUAGGGGAGCGUUCUGUAAGCCUGUGAAGGUGUGCUGUGAGGCAUGCUGGAGGUAUCAGAAGUGCGAAUGCUGACAUAAGUAACGAUAAAGCGGGUGAAAAGCCCGCUCGCCGGAAGACCAAGGGUUCCUGUCCAACGUUAAUCGGGGCAGGGUGAGUCGACCCCUAAGGCGAGGCCGAAAGGCGUAGUCGAUGGGAAACAGGUUAAUAUUCCUGUACUUGGUGUUACUGCGAAGGGGGGACGGAGAAGGCUAUGUUGGCCGGGCGACGGUUGUCCCGGUUUAAGCGUGUAGGCUGGUUUUCCAGGCAAAUCCGGAAAAUCAAGGCUGAGGCGUGAUGACGAGGCACUACGGUGCUGAAGCAACAAAUGCCCUGCUUCCAGGAAAAGCCUCUAAGCAUCAGGUAACAUCAAAUCGUACCCCAAACCGACACAGGUGGUCAGGUAGAGAAUACCAAGGCGCUUGAGAGAACUCGGGUGAAGGAACUAGGCAAAAUGGUGCCGUAACUUCGGGAGAAGGCACGCUGAUAUGUAGGUGAAGUCCCUCGCGGAUGGAGCUGAAAUCAGUCGAAGAUACCAGCUGGCUGCAACUGUUUAUUAAAAACACAGCACUGUGCAAACACGAAAGUGGACGUAUACGGUGUGACGCCUGCCCGGUGC